UACGUAGGGUGCGAGCGUUGUCCGGAAUUACUGGGCGUAAAGAGUUCGUAGGCGGUUUGUCGCGUCGUUUGUGAAAACCCGGGGCUCAACUUCGGGCUUGCAGGCGAUACGGGCAGACUUGAGUGUUUCAGGGGAGACUGGAAUUCCUGGUGUAGCGGUGAAAUGCGCAGAUAUCAGGAGGAACACCGGUGGCGAAGGCGGGUCUCUGGGCAACAACUGACGCUGAGGAGCGAAAGCGUGGGGAGCGAACAGG
rnacentral:rRNA from 1 species